rnacentral:rRNA from 1 species
GAUGAACGCUGGCGGCGUGCUUAACACAUGCCAGUCGAACGGAAAGGCCAGUGCUUGCACUGGUACUCGAGUGGCGAACGGGUGAGUAACACGUGGGUGAUCUGCCCUGCACUUCGGGAUAAGCCUGGGAAACUGGGUCUAAUACCGGAUAGGACAAUGGUUUGGAUGCCGUUGUGGAAAGUUUUUUCGGUGUGGGAUGAGCUCGCGGCCUAUCAGCUUGUUGGUGGGGUAAUGGCCUACCAAGGCGUCGACGGGUAGCCGGCCUGAGAGGGUGUACGGCCACAUUGGGACUGAGAUACGGCCCAGACUCCUACGGGAGGCAGCAGUGGGGAAUAUUGCACAAUGGGCGCAAGCCUGAUGCAGCGACGCCGCGUGGGGGAUGACGGCCUUCGGGUUGUAAACUCCUUUCGCUAGGGACGAAGCGUAUUUGUGACGGUACCUGGAGAAGAAGCACCGGCUAACUACGU